rnacentral:rRNA from 1 species
GAUGAACGCUAGCGGCGUGCUAAUACAUGCAAGUCGAGCGGAGAUUGUAGCAAUACGGUCUUAGUGGCGAACGGGUGAGUACCGCGUCGGCAACCUGUCCUGAAGUGUGGGAUAACGGUCCGAAAGGUCCAAUAAUAUCACAUGUGAUCCCGAGGAACAGAUACUUGGGAUGAAAGGAGCGAUUCGCCUCGUGAGGGGCCUGCGUCCCAUCAGCUAGUUGGUAAGGUAACGGCUCACCAAGGCGAUGACGGGUAGGGGACGUGAGAGGGUGGCCCCCUACAAUGGAACUGAAACACGGUCCAUACACCUACGGGUGGCAGCAGUAGGGAAUAUUGGUUAAUGUGCGAAAGCGCGAACCAGCAACGCCGCGUGUGUGAUGAAGGCCUUCGGGUGGUAAAGCACUUUUUGCAGGGAAGAGGAAGGUCGGUCCCUGCAGAAUAAGUCUUGGUUAAGUACGUACCAGCAGCCGCGGUAAAACGUAGGAGACGAGCGUUAUCCGGAUUUACUGGGCGUAAAGCGCGUGCAGGCGGCAUGGCAAGUUGGAUGUGAAAGCUCCCGGCUUAACUGGGAGAGGUCGUUCAAUACUGCCAGGCUUGAGAGUGGUAGAGGGAAGCGGAAUUCCGGGUGUAGUGGUGAAAUGCGUAGAUAUCCGGAGGAACACCAGUGGCGAAAGCGGCUUCCUGGCCCAUUUCUGACGCUCAGACGCGAAAGCUAGGGUAGCAAACGGGAUUAGAGACCCCGGUAGUCCUAGCCGUAAACGAUGUGAACUUGGCGUUGGCGGGUUUAAAUCCGUCAGUGCCGUAGUUAACGCGAUAAGUUCACCGCCUGGGGACUACGGCCGCAAGGUUAAAAUUCAA